AAUCAAGGGAUACACGUAGAAUGAAUAAUAAAAGUUCUUAUGCUUGGUGUUCAAAUCAUAGGAUUGCAUCAAAUGAAUUACGCAUUUUUCUUAUUUCCUAUUCAAUGGCUUGUUGGAGCCUAGAUAGAUGAUGUUUACAAAAUUGAGUCGCCAACACUUUUCACCAGCUUAGUCCUUUGGGUAAACCGGAGAAUACAUGGGACUCAAUAAAACUUAUUGAUUUGAGAGAUCAAUUAACAUGGUGGAUG
rnacentral:lncRNA from 1 species